rnacentral:rRNA from 1 species
AAACCAGGACUUUUACUUUGAAAAAAUUAGAGUGUUCAAAGCAGGCCUUUGCCCGAAUACAUUAGCAUGGAAUAAUAAAAUAGGACGCGCGUUCCCAUUUUGUUGGUUUCUAAGAUCGCCGUAAUGAUUAAUAGGGAUAGUUGGGGGGCAUUUGUAUUCCGUCGUCAGAGGUGAAAUUCUUGGAUUGCCGGAAGACAAACUACUGCGAAAGCAUUUGCCAAGGAUGUUUUCAUUGAUCAAGGACGAAGGAAGGGGGAUCGAAAACGAUUAGAUACCGUUGUAGUCUCUUCUGUAAACUAUGCCAAUUGGGGAUCGGUACAGGAUUUUUAAUGACUGUAUCGGCACCCGAAGAGAAAUCUUUAAAUGAGGUUCGGGGGGGAGUAUGGUUGCAAGGCUGAAACUUAAAGGAAUUGACGGAAGGGCACCCCCAGGUGUGGAGCCUGCCGCUUAAUUUGACUCAACCCGGGGAAACUCCCCAGGUCCAGACCCAAUAAGGAUUGACAGAUUGAUAGCUCUUUCUUGAUCUUGUGGUUGGUGGUGCAUGGCCGUUUUUAGUUGGUGGAGUGAUUUGUCUGGUUAAUUCCGAUAACGAACGAGACCUUAACCUGCUAAAU